ACCUGGGAUUAGCUCAGUGGGUAGAACAUGAGACUUUUAAUCUCAAGGUUGUGGGAUCGAGCCCCACAUUGGGCA